rnacentral:rRNA from 1 species
GAGUUUGAUCCUGGCUCAGGAUGAACGCUAGCUACAGGCUUAACACAUGCAAGUCGAGGGGCAGCAUCGCGAUAGCUUGCUAUUGCGGAUGGCGACCGGCGCACGGGUGAGUAACGCGUAUCCAACCUUCCCGCAACUGGGGAAUAACCUUGCGAAAGUAAGACUAAUACCCCAUGGUCUCCACGGAUGGCAUCUGAAAUGGAGUAAAGGUUUCGGCCGGUUGCGGAUGGGGAUGCGUCCGAUUAGCUUGACGGCGGGGUAACGGCCCACCGUGGCAUCGAUCGGUAGGGGUUCUGAGAGGAAGGUCCCCCACAUUGGAACUGAGACACGGUCCAAACUCCUACGGGAGGCAGCAGUGAGGAAUAUUGGUCAAUGGGCGGAAGCCUGAACCAGCCAAGUAGCGUGAAGGACGACUGCCCUAUGGGUUGUAAACUUCUUUUAUGCGGGGAUAAAGUUCGCUACGUGUGGCGUUUUGCAGGUACCGCAUGAAUAAGGACCGGCUAAUUCCGUGCCAGCAGCCGCGGUAAUACGGAAGGUCCAGGCGUUAUCCGGAUUCAUUGGGUUUAAAGGGAGCGUAGGCCGCCUUUUAAGCGUGUCGUGAAAUGUAGGGGCUCAACCCCUGCACUGCAGCGCGAACUGGAGGGCUGAGUACACACAAAGUACGCGGAAUUCAUGGUGUAGCGGUGAAAUGCUUAGAUAUCAUGAAGAACCCCGAUGCGAAGGCAGCUUUACUGGAGUGUAACUGACGCUGAAGCUCGAAAGCGCGGGUAUCGAACAGGAUUAGAUGCCCUGGUAGUCCGCGCGGUAAACGAUGGAUGCCCGCUGUUUGCCACUUUGGUAAGCGGCCAAGCGAAAGCGUUAAGCAUCCCACCUGGGGAGUACGCCGGCAACGGUGAAACUCAAAGGAAUUGACGGGGGCCCGCACAAGCGGAGGAACAUGUGGUUUAAUUCGAUGAUACGCGAGGAACCUUACCCGGGCUUGAAUUGCAGGAGAACGAUCCAGAGAUGGUGAGGCCCUUCGGGGCUCCUGUGAAGGUGCUGCAUGGUUGUCGUCAGCUCGUGCCGUGAGGUGUCGGCUUAAGUGCCAUAACGAGCGCAACCCCUCUCCGUAGUUGCCAUCGGGUGAAGCCGGGCACUCUGCGGAUACUGCCACCGUAAGGUGUGAGGAAGGUGGGGAUGACGUCAAAUCAGCACGGCCCUUACGUCCGGGGCUACACACGUGUUACAAUGGGGCAUACAGAAAGCAGGCGGCCGGCAACGUCCGUCUAAUCAUCAAAGUGUCCCUCAGUUCGGACUGGGGUCUGCAACCCGACCCCACGAAGCUGGAUUCGCUAGUAAUCGCGCAUCAGCCAUGGCGCGGUGAAUACGUUCCCGGGCCUUGUACACACCGCCCGUC